CAGUCUCUUUCUAAUUAAAUAGAUCCUUUUUUUAUUCCAAUUAGAUUAUGGUGCUGUUUCUCAAAGAGACCAAGUCCCUGAGUUGAAGAUCUUUAAAGGGCUUUAUUCCUUUAAAAAGGUGCCAUUCCAGCCCUUUCCAGCUCUCACCUCCCCACUCCCUUAUAAGUGACACCGCCUUUCCCCACCAGGCCCUGACUCAGGCUCCAGAGAAGACUGACCAUGACCCUGUGCCACGCCAGGGGCCCAGGCAGGACCUUUAGUGACCUUUCCUGGAGGUGGGUACUCUGUGAAGAGGUGAGCAGCUAUAAUAAGUGAUUUGUCUUGCCAGAAGUUAGGGUGGGUUUGGGUUCUCCCUUUGAAACACGGGGGCUGAAGAGCACUCUCUGGUGUCUUUAUGGGAGAAGAGAGCGUCCAGAGUUGGCCAACGCUGGGGGCAGUUAUCUGCGCAGCCUGCCAGGUCUGCAAGAAAGGGGACUGCAGCCGUGACCCCUAAGUUAGGGCCAUAGGUCCCAAAGCUAAUUUGUUUGAUAUUAAUAAAAAUUAUAAUUAUUAUCUAUUUUAAAAUAGAGUGAUAGGGUUGGAAACAUGGUAUUUCACGACUGCAUUGUCCUAACAACUCUUUCUCACGUGGUUCUGGAAUUCCUUCCCACCGUGUAGCUAUUCUGGUAGUGCACGCAUGUGCACCUGCUUUAUGUCCUUGCAGUCCAUAUCAAACCUUCCUUUUUGUACGUUACUGUUUGUUUUCUAAACCUAGUCCAUGUAAUUCCUGUAUUCGCCAAUGUUCUUAAACAUACCAACACAGGCACGGCCCAUGGCUGCUGCCUGCAGACCAGCUCGUGGCUCAAAGCAACACACAGACCUGAGGCUGCUAUCUUUACUGAGCUCUGUUCACACCCUAGAAGGGUGUCUGCAGCUCGGUGAAGCAAUAAAGGGUGCUUGCCAUUAUUAUUAUGUUCCGAAGGCUAAUAGGCAGGGUGUUUAAAAAUAGCUGCCUGCCUUUCAAUAUGUAAGAGCAGAGUUGGAGAACAUACAUUGACGUAAGAAUGCAAAUCCAACCAAAAUAUCCGAAUCCCUGCAGAAAGAGCACAGGGUUCCAGUAGUGAUUCUGCAGUAACUCCCUGUGUGACUCUAGACCCUUAACCAGUGGCUCUGUCUGUAACGUGAGGGAUUCCUCUAGAUUACCUCUAAGGGGUCCUGUUUUGGGUUGUGGAUAACUUAGAAAAUAUAUUUAAACACAUAUCAAAGUCGAAUUGUACGAUAAAGUUCCACAGCCCUACGGACUGGUUUUGACAACGAUCAUUAAAUCUUAUGUUGUUCGUAUCCUCACAGUUUGAUUAUCACAUUCACUUUAUUAAUUUAUUAUUAUAAUUCUUAGAUUCCUGGAUAAAAUGACACCCAUUUUUCUUAGGAUCAAAACAAGAUGGCUUCCACCAGAGAAAGAAAGGCCAGGCACGGAACUGGUCCCCACGUGGCUGGCCAUUACAACUGCUGCUUCUCCCUGCUCCCAUCUCAUCCCCACGAAUGUCCCACUCAUGGGUGGCCCUGAGUCAUCGUAGAACAGUGUGUCCAUGCCUCUGCUUCCUCAGGCCCCAGGCAUCUCAUGGAGAGUCCUUUCUAGACUGCCAUCUCAUGCCAGAGGGUGGAGGGAUUUCCGCCUGGCUUACCACAGUUGUGUGUGGUUUGUUUGCUGGCAUUCUUUAGCAGCAACUGCUUGAGAGCCAGUUCUUCAAUUCUAGGCAGUCGAUUCACCCAGCAUCUUGCCAGAAGUUGGCUCAGAAUAACAGGCAGCUCUCCAUGCUCAUCCUUCCCGUAGCAUUUCAAGGUAACUGUCCAUCUCCUUCACUCUAGAGCAAGAAGAAAGGAGAAGCCUCUUCUAUCCAUUCUGUUCUGUCUCCUGCACUUUGUCCUGUGAGUGGAGUCAAGUUAAAGGAGCUUCUUUCACUUCCCCAGAGACUCCACCAGGACCUCACAUUCCCAAGGGCAUUGUAGCUGCCAUUCCAUCUGUUCUAGGGAGAACAUUCAUGAACCCUGAAAGGCUGUCCUCUUCUCCAGCUGAGCAUAGGUUUCGCUCGGGCGUACAGGCAGCAGACCUGGUUUUCCAGGACACGUGCCAUUCAAGGCCAUUGGGAUGGGCUGAAAGGUUGAUAGCAAAGGUCUUGAUCUAUCUUUUGCAGGAACCUUGGUGCUUCCAUCUUCCACUUGCCAGUCGGGUGACCACAGAAAAGAGAUUCUGGAGAGUAGAAACUUCGGUCAAGUUGCCCCAAGUCAGGGAUGAGCCUUCUUUCCAUGGAGCCUUCCAAAGGGCAAGCCGUCUGCUACUGUGUACUGUAAAUUCAGAGCUUCAGGAGCUGAGGCCUCCUGUGCUUGGGGGAAAGGUAGCUGAGGAGAAAGGGACACCUUCUCACCUUUUGUUUACCUUUGAUCUGGCUGAACUUAGCUGCCCUUAACUUCUAGUUUGCUUAAGUCCUUAUUGCCUUAAUAACCACCUAAUAAGCAGUCAGAACCAGGAGAGAAGCCCCUCCCGUGGAAUCCAUUGCAAGCCUGUCCCCAGUCUCCCCACUGCUGCUAUGCCUGAAAAGAGCCCCAGCCCCGUCUCCAAAGCCCAGGGUUCGCCUCUUGCUGAAAGAGCAACGUUCCCAGGCUGAGGACAAACCCAGGACUGCUCAGGCGGAGAGAUCCCUGCCCCCACGUUCACCACUGACAACCCAACUCCAUCCUCAGUCUCCGUGGCUUCAGAUCUGGACUCCGCACCCUCCUCCACCUCCACCUCUCUUCCCAGAGACCCUCCCCACAUCAUGCUCAGUGCUGUUUCUGAAGACCAUCUAGACUUUUGUGUUCUCUGGAACAUUCUACUCACCUUCAGCUGCAGCACAUUUCUUCAGCCUCUCCACCAAGCUCUUUAAAAUGAAAGGCAGUUACUGUCUUCCCUUGGACAAUAAUGAAUGUAUCUACUGUAUGUGCAGACCAUGUCGAGAAGUGGCUGGGUUAAGAAAAAAGAGGGUUUUUGUAAAGCCUGUUUAUUUUUUUAAGUCAGUUUUGAGCAUUUCUAUUUUACCACCCUUCACAUGGUUUUGGGGAACCCAAAUUGUAUCAAGGUCUCAUGCCAAAACAAGCCAAAAGUUGUUUUCUUUACCUUUUUCCUCCAUGCACCAUGAUUUCAAUGAUUGUUUCAGUGUCAUUUUAAAUGUUUUCUUGUGACAUGUACUGAUGAUAAAAGUCAUCUUGACAAAAAAAAAAAAAAAAGAUUUAUACAUGAAUCAGAAAGUAUUUAUUUCAAUUUUGUACCUUUCCAUUUUAAUACAUUAUAAUGUAUUGACUCAACGGAGAUAAUAUAAACAGUUCAUUUUAAUAA
rnacentral:lncRNA from 1 species